AUGGCUGGGGCGUCAUGGUGUCGCAUCGCUCCGGGGAGACUGAAGAUACCUUCAUUGCUGACCUGGUGGUGGGACUUUGCACUGGGCAGAUCAAGACGGGGGCCCCUUGCCGAUCGGAGCGCUUGGCUAAAUACAACCAGAUCCUCAGAAUUGAAGAGGAACUGGGUAGCAAGGCUAAGUUCGCCGGCAGAAACUUCAGAAACCCCCUCGCCAAAACUGCUGCAGAAGCCACUUGACCAUCUGGAACCCUGUUGGAAACCCGAGCUCUGUAAUCGUGUGAUUGGCCCAAAUCAUUGUUCUCACCUCAUCUCCCACCCAGUGUCUGGAGCCAAGUCUAUCUACUUUAUAAUCUCGAGGUGUCCACAGGCAAGAUCCCCAGUGGUUUUGUGUGUAGAAUAAAAAGGCCUCAGUGACCCAUAGGAAUGCCGUGUGUGCGUGUGUGUAU
rnacentral:lncRNA from 1 species